rnacentral:rRNA from 1 species
CUUACGGGUGGCAGCAGUGGGGGAUAUUGCACAAUGGGGGAAACCCUGAUGCAGCGACGCCGCGUGUGGGAAGACGGUCUUCUGGAUUGUAAACCACUGUCCCCAGGGACGAAAAUGACGGUACCUGGGGAGGAAGCUCCGGCUAACUACGUGCCAGCAGCCGCGGUAAUACGUAGGGAGCAAGCGUUGUCCGGAAUUACUGGGUGUAAAGGGAGCGUAGGCGGGGAUGCAAGUUGGGUGUCAAAACUACCGGCUCAACCGAUAGUCGCACUCAAAACUGCAACUCUUGAGUGAAGUAGAGGCAGGCGGAAUUCCUAGUGUAGCGGUGAAAUGCGUAGAUAUUAGGAGGAACACCAGUGGCGAAGGCGGCCUGCUGGGCUUUUACUGACGCUGAGGCUCGAAAGUGUGGGGAGCAAACAGGAUUAGAUACCCGGGUAGUC